rnacentral:rRNA from 1 species
UGGUGGGUUGCCUUGUCAGGUUGAUUCCGGUAACGAACGAGACCUCAGCCUGCUAAAUAGUCACGAUCGCUUUUUGCGGUCGGUUGACUUCUUAGAGGGACUAUUGGCGUUUAGUCAAUGGAAGUAUGAGGCAAUAACA